GGAUGUGAGGGCGGUCUGGCUGAGACAUCUGUCACCCCAUUGAUCGCCAGGGUUGAUUCGGCUGAUCUGGUUGCUUGGACGGGGGUCCCCUUCCUCCCUCGAGCUCCGCGUGCGCCCCUCCCCAAGCUGCGCGAGGAGGACGAUCCCCCCACCCCCGACCUCCCCGCAUAGAGGCGGCCCAGUCUUUGGUCAAGGGUACAGAGUAGCUGCGCCCCCCGCCCCAACCUCCAACAUUUUCUGUUUGUAAAAACCACACUGCCCCUCAUUCCACCACGUUAACACAGAAAAAUGAGGACAUUCAAGUUCUAUUCGCCUGAGUUU
rnacentral:sRNA from 1 species